rnacentral:lncRNA from 1 species
AAGAAAGGGGAACUUAGAAGUUUCAAAUGACCCUCCAACACUAUGUAGACUGAGGAGCCUCUGACCAACUCAGCUUCUGAAAAAAAUCCAAACCUGUCCCUGCAGUUUCGGCUGUGCUGUUUCCGGAGUCAAGUAUUGAGGUUGAAGGAGGCUGAUUAGGCCUGGUCUGUGGCAGAAUGGUGCCCAAGCAGGGACCUCUGGACAGUCUGGGAUGUCUUUGGCAUCUUCAUCUGCAUACCUUCUUUUGCUGCAGGAACACUCUGCUUGGACUGUCACCCUGAAUUGGGAGGCUCCUGGCACUUUGCCCUUCUGCUUGUUGACAUCCCCUGAAGGAGGAGUUCUCAGGACACAUCAGGUGAAUUCUAGCCAUAACAUCAGGCUCCAAAGAGUUUUCUAGCUAAUAAUGUCCACUAUUGAAGACGUUUCGUUCUUGUCUAUUUGCUGGAUGCCUGGGUUAGCAGAAGCUUGUCUAAGGAGUCACUGCCUGUGUUGAAGUGGGCUCUGCAGUGAAAUAGCUGUUGGGAAGUUACCCAAGCUCCUCUGCCUGGAGUCAUGGCCUCAGCCAUGGCCUUGUGGAUAUUUUCUAGCUCACAUAAACAAUCCUGAGAGAACAUUCGUGGUCGUAACAGCAAGAAAGUUUAUGGGAAAAGAGGACACUGUGACUGUUGGUUCCAGGAGCUGAAGAUUGCCACCUGACCUUCAGAGAGCCCCCAGUCUCUCCCACUCCCCACCCCCCAUCCCUUGGAGCCUCCUCUUGCUUAUGCUUAUAUUGCCACUCCUGAAUAAAGUUUUCAGAGCUUGAUCAGUA